rnacentral:rRNA from 1 species
AGUAACGCGUGAGGAACCGUAACCCUCCAAAAGAAGGGGGGGAGGAAACAGUUGGAAACGACUGCUAAUACCGCAUAAGCCCACAGCUCGGCAUCGAGCAGAGGGAAAAGGAGCAAUCCGCUUUGAGAUGGCCUCGCGUCCGAUUAGCUAGUUGGUGAGGUAAUGGCCCACCAAGGCGACGAUCGGUAGCCGGACUGAGAGGUUGAACGGCCACAUUGGGACUGAGACACGGCCCAG